GGAGACGAAUGGUCGUGUGUGCGGAGAAAAGUAAAUUUGAAAAAAGAAAACUAAAGAAACACUCGUAAAAAUUUUGCCCCAAUAACUUUCGUGUAGACGUGCUAAGUUAUAAAUUAAACAAAAACCGACUGGUUUGCUACAGCCCAAUUAAAGUCUUCCCAAUAAAUUUGUGCAAGUGAAUUAAACAGCUGUACGUGACUCCCUUUUUCCCUCUCACACAUUGUGUGUGACUCUGCGUAAGUGUGCGUGCAUGAGUGCCUGUGGGUGCAUUUGUUUAUUCCAACCGCCAAAUACGAUUUCUUGCUAGAACUUGCCUCGCGUUGCGUUGCUGGGCGGUGCUGUCAUUACCCCACCCACCCCUCAUUAGCACAUUGUGCAAAAAAUAAAGAAAAUCGAAACUCCCGCACAUAAACUGGAUGAUGAGUAGCAACGACAAAACGAAAACAAAAACAACGGUACACAAAGGAAACUGAAUUAAAGCAUAACAAGAAAUUGCGGUUAAAUACUUGACACGAAUAUUUAUUCAAAAUAGACCAAAAACUUUGUAAAUAUAUAAAUGUGUGUGUUUUUGUACUUUUACAUAACGAAAUUCGCGUCGCACAACAUUGAAAAUAACUGUUUACCAAAUAGUUAAGCAAUUUGUAUACAAAAAAUAAAUAAAAAUAAACGAAAAUAAAUAAAAAAACACAAAACCCAAUUUGAGCUUAAACUUAACUGUAAACAUAUUAUGCACAUUGUUUUUACGUCUUGUGCCCACUGUGCCGAGCUGUAAACAUAUUCAAGAGCAAUAUACAAAAGUGCUUCACAUUUGGCUGGAUAUUUAAAAACAAAAAAAAAUAAAAAUAACAGAAAUCGUCAUUCGAGCUAAAAUGUAAACUGUAUAAGUUUAUAAAUUGAACAAUAACAAAAAAAUGGUUGUAAUUUAGAUAAUAUACAAUUCACGGACUCGGAAAACGAAUUGAACUUGAUUUGAAAAUAGUUAUUGCAGCAGCAGCGUUGGUGGCAUCAGCUCAGCUGCUAAUCGAGUACAAUAA